UCAGUGUGGUUCUGCUUUGGGUCUGCUUGUCUUGUAUUCAGCUCCAGAGAGGUGAUGACCAGCUCACAGUGGACAACGUGCGGUCUGGACUGAAUAGAAUUCAGAACCAGAGUCGUGUGGAGAGAUCAGAGCUGAAUCCAAACCAGCCCGAUGUGUGGACUGAGCUGAGGGAGCUGAGGGACAUGGUGGUGGAGCAGAGGGUGCAGCUGCAGUUCAGUCAAAGCCAGAUUGUGGAGCUGAAGAAAGAGAACACAGCCAUAAACAACAGACUGCUGGCAAGUGAGAACCAAGUGGAGGAACUGAAAAAAGAAAAUUCAGCCAUUGACAACAGACUGCUGGCCAGCGAGAGUCAAGUUGAGGAUCUGAAGCUAAAGUUAAAUUUCAGGUAAAAUUCAAAAUUGUAACUUGACAGGAAAGGGUGAAAAUGUUCUUUACUUUUAAUAUGAGGUAAUUUAUUUUAUUAUUUUUAGGUAAUUAGGUUUUAUUCAAAGAAAUUUUAUUUAAAGAGAUGUAUUCAUAAUUUUCAAUAUUCCAA